rnacentral:tRNA from 1 species
GUUUAGUGGUAGAACAUUGGUGCGUAAAGCCAAAGGUCCCGGGUUCGAUUCCCGG